AAUUGCUAGUAAUGGCAGGUCAGCAUACUGCCGUGAAUACGUUCCCGGGGCCCUUGUACACACCGCCCGUCACACCAUGAGAGUUGGAAAUACCCGAAGCCUGUGAGCUAACUUAAAGAGGCAGCAGUCGAAGGUAGAGCCAAUGAUUGGGGUGAAGUCGUAACAAGGUAUC
rnacentral:rRNA from 1 species